ensembl:rRNA 5S_rRNA 5S ribosomal RNA
GCUUACGGCCAUACCACCCUGAACACGCCCGAUCUCGUCUGAUCUCGGAAGCUAAGCAGGGUCGGGCCUGGUCAGUACUUGGAUGGGAGACCGCCUGGGAAUACCACGUGCUGUAAGCU